rfam:Brachypodium distachyon strain Bd21 chromosome 4, whole genome shotgun sequence.
UAGAUACUCACUCCGUCCAACAAAGUAUGUCUCAACUUUGACUUAGAUUUGAAUGUAUCUAUACACUAACUCAUGUCUAGAUACAUCUAAAUUUUGACAAAGUUAAGACAUCCUUUGUUGGACGGAGAGAGUACAAG